GCUCAAAGGACUGAUGGCUCUGUGAAGCAGCUGAACAGCAAGGAGAACAGCAGAAGAAGAACAGCUGAACAGCAGAGAAGUCAGAGUAGUCAUCUCAAUGAACAACCAACCUUUGCCCGUGGUGAAAUAGGAUCUCAUGAGAACAACAUUUUGUGAUUUCUCAACUUCCUAUCCACCUACCACACUUGAAGCUAAUACUUUUGACUUUUCUGGAGCUAAGAACACGUAACAUAAUCCCGGUACAGGAGAAGGCUUCUUCAGAAUGUGAUUACUGCUUCAUGCGUGAAGGGAAUCCCAGGGCUGUACCUACCCCAAAACCUCAUCCACAAAUACCUCAUCCACGUGUUGAAGGCAGCAAGAAGGAUUGUCACACCAACGUUGUUGCUCUUUGUGGGACAGCCACAGCAUCGUAGUGACCAGAGAGCCUCCUGGAAGCCAGCAGGAGAGGGAGCAGUGGGUGUGAUGUGAAGGAGUGCUGGAGAGCAGCCCUGUCAUGCUGAGCUCUCAGGAUAUGUUUGGGUAAUCCUAAAAGACUGCUUGGAGAAGCAGAAAGACACAGGGAGAAGAAGAAAGCAGGAGGCUGGCACAGCCGGCUCUGGAAAUGAUCAGAGGCACUAGUGCCAUAUUGCACCUCUGCACAUGGCCCCGUUGGUCCAUUACAGCUCUUUGCUGGAAGGCAGCUGGCAUCCAGGUAGCUCCAUUGGAGGUGUCUGCAGUGAGCCAAGCAGCAAAAGGGCCACAAAACAGCACAGGAAACCCACCAGGAAAGUCAGGGAAUCAGCAAAAGGAAAGCAGUACGGGAGCUCUCUGCAUUUGUCAUUUGUCACACGUUCCCGUGGAGCCGCUAGCUCAGUUGUGCUCAUCGAGAUCUGGAGCAUCGCGUUCUCCAGCUGAAGGGAGCAUCCCUUUUGUGUUAGUCUCUGAAGUUGUUUUAACUUGCAUUGACACAAAUUAAACAGGAAUCUUGCUGUCUAUUGAUUUUGUCAGCAAUGUUUUUUUUUCCCUCCUGAAGUCAUCUUUAAAGACUUUACUUUUAUUAAACUAAAUGCUGCCAGUUAACUAAAGUCUUUGUUUUUAUAGACUCAAGAGAACAAGAUCUAACAUAAAUUAAUCAUGACUUAAUUGACUGAACUAAUUCAAGUUCUCUUCAGUCCACUGCACAGCAAUAUUCCUGUCUUCCCAAUGCUGUAACUGAAGGCUAAAUGGUACAUUGCUUUAACAGCAUCAACUUUUUAUAUCUUUAACACAACAUUUCUACUCUGGACAAAAGUUUUAAUUCCUGGGAAUUAAGUCCACAAAACAUUUUCACAGUUAGGAAUGCUGAAGCGCACACCCCUUUUUGUAACACAGACUAGAGCUGACUUCAAUUUCUUCCUAUUAUCUCUUUUUUUUUUCUCUCUGUGCAUAGACUAAAUUAUUUAUUUGGUAUUACUAUUUCAAAGGAAAACCAAGCAUUAAUUCAAUUUACAACAGUAUUCUUUCACCCUACAGAGCAUAAAAUGAAAUGCAAUGAAUUGCUAAUGCUGCCGAUGUCAAGAAGGCAAUGCGUUUAGUGAGGCUGCCUAAAUCAUUAAUGCGACGAGCUCUUCCCCGAAAGGCGCCACGGGCAGGAAGCAGCCAACCCAUUGCAUGGGUUUGGGGUUUUACA
rnacentral:lncRNA from 1 species